rnacentral:lncRNA from 1 species
UGACCUCAAAUGAUCCACCUGCCUCGGCCUCCCAAAGUGCUGGAAUUACAGGCAUGAGCCACCGCACCUGGGCUGCAAGGGGAUUUCUAAGGAGAAGGGGAGACGUGGCCACUGGCAACCACACCACCAUCAAGGUGGGGCCUCAUGAUCCACCUACGAGCAGGAGCAGGGCUCUGAGGCAGGGCACUGAGGCUGAAUAACACCUCUGUGUUGCAGGACAAUUUAUCAAAGGAAAAUGAGGGCAUCCAUUCAGUUUUCCUUGUCCCACCUUCAAAAAAGACCAGGAUUGUUGAAAUUAUUCCUCUAAAAUCUACAUUUUAAGAAGGAAGGUCAAGCUGGUGCUAAUGUAAUGUGUGCUAUAGCUAACAUAUUAUAGCUAACAUACCUGCUUUAGGUCAAGCUGGUGGUAGAGUUACAUUCUAUUUUUUACUUAUGGUAUGCUUUAUAGGAAAAUGGGACCCUUUGUAUGAUUAAUAUUGGUGAGACAAUGUCCAUUUUGUCAGAGACAUAAGGUAAAUUCUUAUCACAGUACACUGUUAUCAAGGUUAGAGGUUGUGAUAUCUUUGCUUUCUUGAUUUAUUAAGAAUUGUAUUUAUGAUUUAAUUAUUGCCAAGUCGAUGGUCAGGAAUGCUUCCUAACUUUGCCAUGGCGAUAUGGUUCUAGGGGAGAGGGAAGCCGAUUCAUGUUAUUUGUUCUGCUAAUUUAUAAACACACUGUCUGUUCUAGUUUCCUCUCACAAACCCUUUUGGAUCUGACAUCCAUGAAUUUAUUUAAGCAUUUAAAAAUCAUGACAUGUUUCCACCAUGAGCCAUCUACUUGCUAUGAGAAGGCAUGCUUUCUUUUAUUUAUCCUAAACGUGUAUUUUCUGAGCUUCCAGCAAAUUCUGCACCAUCCCCUUAGACUAGUCUGGAGUAGGACAUGCACAGUUCUUGACCACCACUAGCUGUGGCCAUCCUUGGCUAAUGCCACCUUUGUUUUGUGUAAAUGGCUUAUUUACUCUUCUCUGUUGGAUAUCAAAGCAACUUAACAGUGUAAGUAGCUUUUGCUAAAUGAAGACAUGAGUAAGCAGAGACUGUGGAAUAUACUGGUGCUACUUCAGUGGGAUUUUACAUGGUGAAACAAAGGGAGAAGUUGGUUCAGAAGUUUAGCCCUUGCUGCCUUGCCCAGUAUGUGAUUUUGUGCAAGAAGAUGAGCAAAACAAAGACAUGUUGCAGGCCGUGUUUUCUGGACGGUUGUUGAGUCAAGAAGGAUUCAGGUGAGAUACUGGGGCUCCUUAUUUGAGCCAGCAGAAGCAGCUUUUUAGUUCCCAAAUCAAAUGGCUGGUACAUAAAUGUAAGGCUCUUAUGCUUAUUUUGUGACCUGAAAGAUGGGGAGCAGGGAAGGAAGAACUAGGCGUGGUCUCAGAUGUUUGGGAUAAUUGGCAUCAUUUUCCUCCAUUAUCCAUGCUUCAUCUAGAAUGAGUUAAUUGAGCCUGAAGCCUUCCAAAUCUCCUGUUAAUUACCCUGAAGCAGGCAUGUUUGUCCCUUUCUUGGUCUAAAGCUGCAGGCAGAUAUCCGAGGUCUUUUAUCCUUGCCUAGCACCAAAGAGUGACCACAAAAUCUGCCUCAGGUUUCCGAAGGAGCCAGGUUCCACACUUGGCCCACCAGCCCCACUGCUCUGUGUGCGCCCAGCUCUCCACUUAACCACCUGAUCCUGUUGUGUGACUUAGAAGAACGUGACUUUUACAACUUGAAAGCUUAUUCCUGGACAGGAGUACUUGGUAGUGGAGAAUCAGAGGAACUAAGGACUUCAGCAUCACACCCAGUUUAAGCCUUUGCGCUUCAGCCAAGAAGACAGCAACGCUUGUCACGCUUGUCUCUCUGGCUUUUGGAUAAUAUACAUAACUGGUCCUUAUGGAGGGCUGACUUUGGCCAUGUGUGUACUCUUUUUAAUGAUCCCAACUGCCUGACAAUGUCUAUACACUGCAUGAAGGACCUCAUGCUCUAGGGAGGCAGGAUCCUUGCCUGGAGUUACACUUGGGGUGGCAGAAGUGGGACUCAUACUCAACCCUGACAUACCAUAGCACUGCUUGUUGAUUUGCAGACAUAUAAUUGAAUGUGCUGUUAAAGAAUGGUGAAAGUAGGAAUGUGUUUGCUCUAAAUUUCCCUGUGAACUUCCUUGUCUGCACCAGCUGGCUUGGUUUGAUCCUUUCCCCAGACUCUGAUGCUUCUGUAAAGACAGAGCACAUGCACAUGCUCAUGUCCUCUGGCCCAGGUAAGGCUUAUCCACAGAGAAGGGAGCAUUGUGCCCCCAGUGCCCGGGAGGUGGUAUAUUCCACAAAGAGGUGAGUGGAGUGGGGGCCUUGUUGUCAUUGAAUCUCAUGUAGUGGAGGGCCUUGGGGAGGUGACACAGGAAAAUGUGCUACUCUGUAUUGUCUUGGGAAGGGUUGAAUUUGAUUCUGUUGUUUCUGAGGAUGUGAGAAUAAAUCUUGAUGGCUUUCCUCUUUCUGCCUCUAAGCAUCCUUGUGUGUAUUGCUGGUUUUACCUGAUCAUUUUCACCAUCUUCCCCAUGGUUUUAGUGGUCAUUUUUCAUUUCUUCUCUUGUAAAUAAUCAGUUCAUGUUUUCUAGCACCAAUUCUAAGCCUAGAUUAGUAAUAAGAAAAGUUCCCUCUUUUUAAAAGAAGAUGUCUACUUUCUCUGCCCUCCUUAUUGCCCAGAAAACAGGCAUUGUGGAGACGUGGCCUUGAUUGUCCUUCUUCUUGUCUCUUCCACCAAUGUGGCUGACCUUUUUCUCCUCACUCUCCAUUAAUUAGCAGCAGUUUCCCUGUUCCUUGGCUCACAGUGGUACACCUGGGAGCCUUAGCACUCACUGAAAACCCCUUACUGCCUAACAAGAAUUGACCCAUGGUUGAAAACCCAUCUCAAGUGCUGCUGCCUCUAUGAAGCCCACCCUGAAUUACGUUCAACUGGACAUACUUCCUUAUUUAAACCCUUUGGCACUGAUAUUCUAUCUUUAAUCAUUAUUAUUAUUUUAGAACAUGUCACCUUCCCAUGUUUUCCAAGUCAUAAAAGUAGUACAUGUCCAUCACAGACAAAUGGGGAGUGCAGAAAAGCACAAAGAAUAAAACAGAGACAGCAGGGUUCAGGCUUCGAGUUGUGGUGCAAUUGGCCCACAUCCACCCCACCCUCUCUUCACGCAGCAGAUGACUGGGACAUAAAGAAGCUGAUGGGGCCACUGCCACCGAAUUUCCACCUGCAGCCCUUCUCGGGGGCCACCACCAUGCUCCUCAACAGCUGUCACUGACAGGACAGAGCUUGAGGAUCUUGAGGAGCUACUGACCCUGCAGAACCGCUCUGAGACCAGGGGGAGCUUUUCCAGUAGAAUGAAAGGAUUGCUUCUGCUUUAACCUCUGAUGCUUUAUCAAGGCCGAGCUGAGGGCUGCACUAUCGGGAGCUUGAUGAGGAAACUGAGGCACAGAGAGAUGAAGGAACUUGCCCAAGGUCACACAGCUGAGGAACCCAGGCACUCAGAUUCUGGGGCCUGCUCUCAUAACCACAAUGCUACAUCCCUGCCUCUAACAUCGGGACAACCAGGCCUUCCUCACAGGCAUUAUCGGGACUAUAAGAUAAGAUGCAUAAGGUUUUAUCUCCAGAGAGAAGGCAGCUAUGGUCCAAGGUCAAACACAGAGGCUACAACUAGAAACCUCUAGACCAAGUUUGGUCCAUGUGGUGUUCUCUAUAGAGUUUCUUUCUUUUUAAUUUGGAUUUUCAAUACUUUAAAAUUAAGAGCACACACAUAACAGUAUCCUUUUUCAGCUUCCUUAAACCAUAUCUGAACAUUUGGCCAAAGUAGAUCCCUGCUGGGGCAUGAAAUAAUCAGCUGAUGCCGUUUCCCUCGGUCCUCACCAUCCUCUCACGCCUUCCCCUCCUGAGGCUACCGUCAGAGGCCAUUUCUCAUCCUGCAUGCACUGUAGCAUUUCUGACACUAGGUACACUUCGCUCGCUAUCUGCCUGGCCUCUGUGGGCAUGAGGGUUUGUAGACAGAGCAAAACCAAGUAGUUUGUGGGGGUGCGUGCCUAUCAUUUCCAAAGGGAGCCACAGGUCGGUCAUUUGCUAUCUAUGAGAUUCAAAGCUCAGGGUCUUCUCAGAGAGUAAACUCACGAAGGUACGUAGGAAUAUCUUGCAGGCAUUUCUUUCCAGCAUGCCACAAACCAGUGGUCUCACAGGGCAUGAUGUUUUAGUGAGAGCUGGGGCUAAACAUAAUGUUUUCAGCUUUUUUUUCCUUGCAUUUUUUUUUUCUCAGCUCUGGUCUUCUUCUUGGCAUUUUUGACACAUACCACACGCUGGCCCAUCAUUUCCUUCUGGUUACCCAGGUGUUCCAAAAGAUCCCCCUCCAGUGAUACACUCCGUUCUCCAGGGCUCAGAUCUGAAAGUGUAGCUAUGUUACCUGGGAGAGAUGACAUGAACACACCAUUUUCCCAAGCAGGGCAACCAUCAAGGAAACAGGUGGCACACACAGAGGAGAGUUACAUCAGAGUGCAGGGCAGGACAAAGGGGACCAGCAAGAAAUGGAGAGGCACCUGGGGUCAGCCCUUGCAGGAAGCCCUGACCACUCCCAAACUGAAUGGGAAAAGCGGGACAGGUGCUGUUGGACCCCAGAGACAGCUGGGGCAUGGAAAGAGGCUCUGCUUUCCAGAAGCUGUGGGCAGACAGCCAUGACCAGACCUGCAGUGGAGCAGGACCCUACAUGGCAAAAGGCUUGGCAGACGUGACAAAGUGAAGAGUCUUGAGAUGGGGAGAUGAUCCUGCAUUGUCUGGAUGGGCUGGGUGUGGUCGUGACAGUUUUCAUAAGAGGGCUGCAGGACUACACUUUCUUCCUGAGAGGGUUCCUAACUUCUCUGAAGUCAAGUUGAGCGUCCACAUCUAAAGCCCCAGGAUGAGCCUCCUGGUGGAGGAGAGUGCUCCUGCCUCUCCUGCCUCUCUUUAUGGAUUGUAUGUCAAGGAGACACCCGCAAGGACUCUGGUGGCCUGGACAUACUUCUGGAAGACUGACUCUUCCAGACUGAUGAAACCAAAGCCCACAGCUAGCACCAACUUGCCAGCCAUGUGAGUGAAUCAUCGUGGAAAUGAUAUCUGCCAGCCCUGGCCAAAAUGCCCCAGCUGAUGCCACAUAAAGCAAAAAUUAGCAGUUGCCACCAAGCCCUGCCUAAAUUGCAAAAUCGUUGAGAUGUUUCCCAAAAUGCCUCACAAAUAUUCUGGGAUGUCACCUUUUGCAAUGGAUCUGCAGGUUCCAUCGUGCCCUAGCUUUUUGCCUGAGGGGAGGCUCUGGCCAUGGGUCCCUUUUCAGGUCAGCAAGAGUGCCGUGCAGAGCAGGAGCCCCAUCCAAUGCUCUACAGCUCUGGACUCCUGCCAAUCCUCCCUUGGCCAAGGCCUCCAGAAGUCAGAGAGCGAGGGAACAUAUGAACUAUCUAUCCUGGUCUACUGUCAAUCUCCUUCCACUGAAAUAUCAGCUCCACAAGGCUAGUGGUGUCAUGGAUUUGCUCACUGCUGUAGGUGCCUAGUGAAUAUUUGCUGGAAAUGGAAUACAUGGAUAGGCUUGGAGCUAACUAGAAAAAGCUUGAAAAGUUCUUUGGAAGUGGAAACCGUUUCAGAAGACCUGGAGUCUUUCUCAUCAUGGUAGUCUGCAGACCCAAUCAAUCUAUGAGAAACCCAGCAGUUCCACCUCACUGCUGCACACUGAUUCCAUUACCCAGGGCUUCUGGAGGUCUUCAUUCAUCAAGGCCUGUCUGCUCUCACUGAGUGCGCUACUUUACCCCAAUGUUAUCACAGACAACCAGGACUAUAUUAAACUUGUCAAAGUAAGAGUCUUUUAGAGGGAUGGAACAUCCUGAACUUUUUUUUCAAAUGGAGACAUUUUCCUGUUUCUUGAGUGUGUUAAGAGGGACAGGGGUCCCCCACCUUUAGUUUUUGGCCAUAACAGAAAAAAAAUUUUGAUAAAGAUCAGAUAUUAUUAUUACCAUUUAAAUAUUUACCUAUGAAAUUUAGUGAGUGGCAAUGAAACUUCUUGGCAUUUAAUUUUUUUGAUGUUCUGCCAUUGGGAACUUAUCUUUGCAACACUUUUUGUUAAGAGAUGUCAUGAUUCUGGGUUGGAGGAAGAUAGGAAUAUCUAAAAUGCUAUGUCAUGGUUCAAUUGUACAGAAAAAAAUAAGGUAAACAUGAAAAGAAAAUCCAUUUGACCAUGGUGUUUGUGGCUAUUUCCUUCUGGCAUCUCAAGGGUUGCGAUGUAAGGUACUUAAAUCAACAGCCAGUGGAUGACUUUUUCCUUCACACUCCAGAGUGAGUCUCUGCUCAGAAACUCUGACCACUCAAUCUGAAAUUCUCCUCGUCUGUUACUGUCUAAAUUCCUACCUUGCUUUAUUUUCCUUUGUGGUACUUAUCCCCACCUCAAGUUAUGUGUGUUCAUGUGUUUGCUGUCUGCCUCCCUACUAGAGUGUCAGCUCUACAGGGCAAAGAUAUCAGCUGUCUUCUUCAUUAUGCUGUAUCUCUAGUGGCUAGAACAGUGCCUGGCAGGUGGCAGCACUCAGUGAGUAACUGUUGAAUAAAUAAAUAAAUAAGUCAAUAAGUGGA